GAUGAACGCUAGCGGCAGGCCUAACACAUGCAAGUCGAGGGGUAACAUGAGUGCUUGCACUUGAUGACGACCGGCGCACGGGUGCGUAACGCGUAUACGAUCUACCCUGUACUGAGGGAUAGCCCAGAGAAAUUUGGAUUAAUACCUCAUAGUAUGUGAUUUUGGCAUCAUUAUCACAUUAAAGGUUACGGUACAAGAUGAGUAUGCGUCCUAUUAGUUAGUUGGUGUGGUAACGGCACACCAAGGCUACGAUAGGUAGGGGCCCUGAGAGGGGGAUCCCCCACACUGGUACUGAGACACGGACCAGACUCCUACGGGAGGCAGCAGUGAGGAAUAUUGGACAAUGGGCGAGAGCCUGAUCCAGCCAUGCCGCGUGCAGGAAGACUGCCCUAUGGGUUGUAAACUGCUUUUAUACAGGAAGAAACACUCGGACGUGUCCGAGCUUGACGGUACUGUAAGAAUAAGGAUCGGCUAACUCCGUGCCAGCAGCCGCGGUAAUACGGAGGAUCCAAGCGUUAUCCGGAAUCAUUGGGUUUAAAGGGUCCGCAGGCUGGCAAUUAAGUCAGAGGUGAAAGUUUGCGGCUCAACCGUAAAAUUGCCUUUGAAACUGGUUGUCUUGAAUUAUUGUGAAGUGGUUAGAAUAUGUAGUGUAGCGGUGAAAUGCAUAGAUAUUACAUAGAAUACCAAUUGCGAAGGCAGAUCACUAACAAUAUAUUGACGCUGAUGGACGAAAGCGUGGGGAGCGAACAGGAUUAGAUACCCUGGUAGUCCACGCCGUAAACGAUGGUUACUAGCUGUUC
rnacentral:rRNA from 1 species